CAUGGACCAAAAGCGUAGAUCCACUUACUUUUCCCCCACGGAAUUGGAAAUUCUAAUGAACGUGUAUGCCGAGCAGUUACCCAUUUUAACAAAAAAAAGCAAUACCGCCGCGGCAGCGAGAGCGCGAGAGAAAGCUUGGCAGGAAAUAGCUGAACAAGUCAAUGCCAAAUCGAAAAAAUGCAGAGGCCUGGCAGACUGGAGGGGGUCCACCACCUGCAGCCCUCACAGAGGCUGAGGAGAUGGCCCCAAGCCAACAGAGUAUGCGUCCUGGGCAUCCCUGGGGGGAGCUCCUCUGAUCCCCCCCACCCCCCAGGAUAGAAGUGCCUUUACAGUAUAAGAGUUACUGAUGGCGUCAUCGCCCUACUUGAACCAGAUGCCCUCACCAACCUCCAUGCAAUUGUAACAAUUCAAAAGAUGCAAAAGGAUGCUUUGGAGAUCCAAAUUUUGGAACAUAAGUUAUAGGUGGGUGAGGUGCAAACUGGGAUAAUGUUCCCUGCUCUAAAAAUAUACCCAAUAUAAAUUACUUUUUUUUUUUUGUGCUUUCAAGAAAUAAAAAAAUCC
ensembl:lncRNA